AUGCAAGCGAACCGAAACUCUAAAACUACCGGCUACAUUGCUGUUGUUGUAGUGGCAUCCGUGGUUGUAGCAGUACUAGUGGUACUACUACUCUUUUUCGUAAUAAGAAGAAAACAAGAACCGGCAAAUGUACAUAAUGAGGAAAGUGACGUGCAAUCGCGCAAUCGUCGAUUCACAUACACGGAACUGAAGGUGGUAACAUCCAACUUCCCGCGAGUGCUUGGGGAAGGAGGGUUUGGCCUCGUAUAUGAUGGCUUCUUGGAGGAUGGUACUCAAGUUGCAGUCAAGCUGCGGUCUCAAUCUUCCAAUCAGGGUGUAAAAGAGUUCUUGACAGAGGCACAAAACUUAACAGGGAUUCAUCACAGGAAUCUAGUCAGCCUGAUUGGCUAUUCCAAGGAUGGGGAGUACAUGGCCCUUGUAUAUGAGUAUAUGUCCGAAGGAGACCUCCAACAUAAACUCAGAGGGAGAGAUCACAAUGAUGGAUGUUUAACCUGGAGACAGAGGCUCCAUAUUGUACUGGAGUCCGCGCAAGGGCUCGAGUAUCUGCACAAGGCAUGUAACCCGCCUUUCAUACACCGGGAUGUGAAGACGUCAAACAUCCUACUGGAUGCAAAUCUAAAAGCUAAGGUUGCUGAUUUUGGCUUGAUGAAGGCUUUCGAUCAGGAUGGUGAUAUAUGUAUCCACAGCCAGGGUGGUUGGCACACCAGGCUACCUUGCCCCCGAGUACGCAACAGUCCUAGAGCUCACUGA
rnacentral:rRNA from 1 species